rnacentral:rRNA from 1 species
GACGUAGGGCGCGAGCGUUGUCCGGAUUUAUUGGGCGUAAAGAGCUCGUAGGCGGCUUGUUGCGUCAGCUGUGAAAACCCGCAGCUCAACUGUGGGCUUGCAGCUGAUACGGGCAGGCUUGAGUUCGGUAGGGGAGACUGGAAUUCCUGGUGUAGCGGUGAAAUGCGCAGAUAUCAGGAGGAACACCGGUGGCGAAGGCGAGUCCCUGGACACUUCCUGACACUGAGGCACGAAAGCUAGGGGGAGCAAACAGG